CGUGAGGAACCUGCCUUUCAGAGGGGGACAACAGUUGGAAACGACUGCUAAUACCGCAUAAUGCAUAGGUAUCGCAUGGUACAGAUGCCAAAGAUUUAUCGCUGAGAGAUGGCCUCGCGUCUGAUUAGCUAGUUGGUAGGGUAACGGCCUACCAAGGCGACGAUCAGUAGCCGGACUGAGAGGUUGGCCGGCCACAUUGGGACUGAGAUACGGCCCAGACUCCUACGGGAGGCAGCAG
rnacentral:rRNA from 1 species